rnacentral:rRNA from 1 species
GCAGGCCUAACACAUGCAAGUCGAACCCUUACAGGAAGAAGCUUGCUUCUUUGCUGACGAGUGGCGGACGGGUGAGUAAUGUCUGGGAAACUGCCUGAUGGAGGGGGAUAACUACUGGAAACGGUAGCUAAUACCGCAUAACGUCGCAAGACCAAAGAGGGGGACCUUCGGGCCUCUUGCCAUCGGAUGUGCCCAGAUGGGAUUAGCUUGUUGGUGGGGUAACGGCUCACCAAGGCGACGAUCCCUAGCUGGUCUGAGAGGAUGACCAGCCACACUGGAACUGAGGCACGGUCCAGACUCCUACGGGAGGCAGCAGUGGGGAAUAUUGCACAAUGGGCGCAAGCCUGAUGCAGCCAUGCCGCGUGUAUGAAGAAGGCCUUCGGGUUGUAAAGUACUUUCAGCGGGGAGGAAGGGAGUAAAGUUAAUACCUUUGCUCAUUGACGUUACCCGCAGAAGAAGCACCGGCUAACUCCGUGCCAGCAGCCGCGGUAAUACGGAGGGUGCAAGCGUUAAUCGGAAUUACUGGGCGUAAAGCGCACGCAGGCGGUUUGUUAAGUCAGAUGUGAAAUCCCCGGGCUCAACCUGGGAACUGCAUCUGAUACUGGCAAGCUUGAGUCUCGUAGAGGGGGGUAGAAUUCCAGGUGUAGCGGUGAAAUGCGUAGAGAUCUGGAGGAAUACCGGUGGCGAAGGCGGCCCCCUGGACGAAGACUGACGCUCAGGUGCGAAAGCGUGGGGAGCAAACAGGAUUAGAUACCCUGGUAGUCCACGCCGUAAACGAUGUCGACUUGGAGGUUGUGCCCUUGAGGCGUGGCUUCCGGAGCUAACGCGUUAAGUCGACCGCCUGGGGAGUACGGCCGCAAGGUUAAAACUCAAAUGAAUUGACGGGGGCCCGCACAAGCGGUGGAGCAUGUGGUUUAAUUCGAUGCAACGCGAAGAACCUUACCUGGUCUUGACAUCCACGGAAGUUUUCAGAGAUGAGAAUGUGCCUUCGGGAACCGUGAGACAGGUGCUGCAUGGCUGUCGUCAGCUCGUGUUGUGAAAUGUUGGGUUAAGUCCCGCAACGAGCGCAACCCUUAUCCUUUGUUGCCAGCGGUCCGGCCGGGAACUCAAAGGAGACUGCCAGUGAUAAACUGGAGGAAGGUGGGGAUGACGUCAAGUCAUCAUGGCCCUUACGACCAGGGCUACACACGUGCUACAAUGGCGCAUACAAAGAGAAGCGACCUCGCGAGAGCAAGCGGACCUCAUAAAGUGCGUCGUAGUCCGGAUUGGAGUCUGCAACUCGACUCCAUGAAGUCGGAAUCGCUAGUAAUCGUGGAUCAGAAUGCCACGGUGAAUACGUUCCCGGGCCUUGUACACACCGCCCGUCACACCAUGGGAGUGGGUUGCAAAAGAAGUAGGUAGCUUAACCUUCGGGAGGGCGCUUACCACUUUGUGAUUCAUA